rnacentral:rRNA from 1 species
UACAGAGGUCUCAAGCGUUGUUCGGAUUCAUUGGGCGUAAAGGGUGCGUAGGCGGCGCGGUAAGUCGGGUGUGAAAUCUCGGGGCUUAACUCCGAAACUGCAUUCGAUACUGCCGUGCUUGAGGACUGGAAAGGAGACUGGAAUUUACGGUGUAGCGGUGAAAUGCGUAGAUAUCGUAAGGAAGACCAGUGGCGAAGGCGGGUCUCUGGGCCACUACUGACGCUGAGAAGCGAAAGCAUGGGGAGCGAACAGG